CCUACGGGGGGCAGCAGUGAGGAAUAUUGGUCAAUGGGCGGGAGCCUGAACCGGCCAAGCCGCGUGAGGGAAGAAGGUACAGCGUAUCGUAAACCUCUUUUGUCAGGGAACAAAGGCGGGGACUAGUCCCCGGAUGAGGGUACCUGAAGAAAAAGCAUCGGCUAACUCCGUGCCAGCAGCCGCGGUAAUACGGAGGAUGCGAGCGUUAUCCGGAUUUAUUGGGUUUAAAGGGUGCGCAGGCGGCCUGUUAAGUCAGCGGGAAAAGCCCGGGGCUCAACCGCGGCGAGCCGUUGAAACUGGCGGGCUGGAGUUGGAGAGAGGUACGCGGAAUGCGAGGUGUAGCGGUGAAAUGCUUAGAUAUCGCGCAGAACCCCGAUUGCGAAGGCAGCGUACCGGCUCCACACUGACGCUGAGGCACGAAAGCGUGGGUAUCGAACAGGAUUAGAUACCCGAGUAGUC
rnacentral:rRNA from 1 species